rnacentral:rRNA from 1 species
GACGAACGCUGGCGGCGUGCCUAACACAUGCAAGUCGAGCGGAGAUGUACUGAAGAUUUAUCGGAUGUACAUCUUAGCGGCGGACGGGUGAGUAACGCGUGGGCAACCUGCCUUCCACUGGGGGAUAACACAGGGAAACCCUGUGCUAAUACCGCAUGACAUCACAUAGGGCAUCCUGUGUGAUCAAAGGAGUGAUCCGGUGGAAGAUGGGCCCGCGUCUGAUUAGCUAGUUGGUGAGGUAAUGGCUCACCAAGGCGACGAUCAGUAGCCGACCUGAGAGGGUGAUCGGCCACAUUGGAACUGAGACACGGGUCCAAACUCCUACGGGAGGCAGCAGUGGGGAAUAUUGCACAAUGGGCGAAAGCCUGAUGCAGCAACGCCGCGUGAGCGAUGAAGGCCUUCGGGUCGUAAAGCUCUGUCCUCAGGAAGAUAAUGACGUACUGUGGAGGAAGCCCGGCUAACUACG